rnacentral:rRNA from 1 species
AGCAGCCGCGGUAAUUCCAGCUCCAAUAGCGUAUAUUAAAGUUGUUGCAGUUAAAAAGCUCGUAGUUGAAUUUCGGGAUCAGACUGUCGGUCGUGCCUCGGUACGCACUGGCAUUAUUGGUUCCUACCUUCUGAAGAACCGCGAUGUCAUUAAUUUGGUGUCGCGGGGAAUCAGGACUGUUACUUUGAAAAAUUAGAGUGUUUAAAGCAGGCUUACGCUUGAAUACAUUAGCAUGGAAUAAUGAAAUAGGACGUUUGAUUCUAUUUUGUUGGUUUCUAGGAUCGACGUAAUGAUUAAUAGGGAUAGUUGGGGGCAUUAGUAUUCAAUUGUCAGAGGUGAAAUUCUUGGAUUUAUUGAAGACUAACUACUGCGAAAGCAUUUGCCAAGGAUGUUUUCAUUAAUCAAGAACGAAAGUUAGGGGAUCGAAGACGAUCAGAUACCGUCGUAGUCUUAACCAUAAACUAUGCCGACUAGGAAUCAGACGAUGUUAAUUUUUAAUGUAUCG